GACGAACGCUGGCGGCGUGCUUAACACAUGCAAGUCGAACGGAAAGGCCCUGCUUUUGUGGGGUGCUCGAGUGGCGAACGGGUGAGUAACACGUGAGUAACCUGCCCUUGACUUUGGGAUAACUUCAGGAAACUGGGGCUAAUACCGGAUAGGAGCUCCUGCUGCAUGGUGGGGGUUGGAAAGUUUCGGCGGUUGGGGAUGGACUCGCGGCUUAUCAGCUUGUUGGUGGGGUAGUGGCUUACCAAGGCUUUGACGGGUAGCCGGCCUGAGAGGGUGACCGGCCACAUUGGGACUGAGAUACGGCCCAGACUCCUACGGGAGGCAGCAGUGGGGAAUAUUGCACAAUGGGCGGAAGCCUGAUGCAGCAACGCCGCGUGCGGGAUGACGGCCUUCGGGUUGUAAACCGCUUUCGCCUGUGACGAAGCGUGAGUGACGGUAAUGGGUAAAGAAGCACCGGCUAACUACGUGCCAGCAGCCGCGGUGAUACGUAGGGUGCGAGCGUUGUCCGGAUUUAUUGGGCGUAAAGGGCUCGUAGGUGGUUGAUCGCGUCGGAAGUGUAAUCUUGGGGCUUAACCCUGAGCGUGCUUUCGAUACGGGUUGACUUGAGGAAGGUAGGGGAGAAUGGAAUUCCUGGUGGAGCGGUGGAAUGCGCAGAUAUCAGGAGGAACACCAGUGGCGAAGGCGGUUCUCUGGGCCUUUCCUGACGCUGAGGAGCGAAAGCGUGGGGAGCGAACAGGCUUAGAUACCCUGGUAGUCCACGCUGUAAACGGUGGGUACUAGGUGUGGGGUCCAUUCCACGGGUUCCGUGCCGUAGCUAACGCUUUAAGUACCCCGCCUGGGGAGUACGGCCGCAAGGCUAAAACUCAAAGGAAUUGACGGGGCCCCGCACAAGCGGCGGAGCAUGCGGAUUAAUUCGAUGCAACGCGUAGAACCUUACCUGGGUUUGACAUGGAUCGGGAGUACUCAGAGAUGGGUGUGCCUCUUUUGGGGUCGGUUCACAGGUAGUGCAUGGCUGUCGUCAGCUCGUGUCGUGAGAUGUUGGGUUAAGUCCCGCAACGAGCGCAACCCUUGUUCACUGUUGCCAGCACGUUAUGGUGGGGACUCAGUGGAGACCGCCGGGGUCAACUCGGAGGAAGGUGGGGAUGACGUCAAGUCAUCAUGCCCCUUAUGUCCAGGGCUUCACGCAUGCUACAAUGGCUGGUACAGAGAGUGGCGAGCCUGUGAGGGUGAGCGAAUCUCGGAAAGCCGGUCUCAGUUCGGAUUGGGGUCUGCAACUCGACCUCAUGAAGUCGGAGUCGCUAGUAAUCGCAGAUCAGCAACGCUGCGGUGAAUACGUUCCCGGGGACU
rnacentral:rRNA from 1 species